rnacentral:rRNA from 1 species
CGAGCGGCGACGGGUGAGUAACACGUGGGUGAUCUGCCCUGCACUUCGGGAUAAGCCUGGGAAACUGGGUCUAAUACCGGAUAUGACCUCCUAUCGCAUGGUGGGUGGUGGAAAGAUUUAUCGGUGCAGGAUGGGCCCGCGGCCUAUCAGCUUGUUGGUGGGGUAAUGGCCUACCAAGGCGACGACGGGUAGCCGACCUGAGAGGGUGACCGGCCACACUGGGACUGAGACACGGCCCAGACUCCUACGGGAGGCAGCAGUGGGGAAUAUUGCACAAUGGGCGAAAGCCUGAUGCAGCGACGCCGCGUGAGGGAUGACGGCCUUCGGGUUGUAAACCUCUUUCAGCAGGGACGAAGCGCAAGUGACGGUACCUGCAGAAGAAGCACCGGCUAACUACGUGCCAGCAGCCGCGGUAAUACGUAGGGUGCAAGCGUUGUCCGGAAUUACUGGGCGUAAAGAGUUCGUAGGCGGUUUGUCGCGUCGUUUGUGAAAACCAGCAGCUCAACUGCUGGCUUGCAGGCGAUACGGGCAGACUUGAGUACUGCAGGGGAGACUGGAAUUCCUGGUGUAGCGGUGAAAUGCGCAGAUAUCAGGAGGAACACCGGUGGCGAAGGCGGGUCUCUGGGCAGUAACUGACGCUGAGGAACGAAAGCGUGGGUAGCGAACAGGAUUAGAUACCCUGGUAGUCCACGCCGUAAACGGUGGGCGCUAGGUGUGGGUUCCUUCCACGGAAUCCGUGCCGUAGCUAACGCAUUAAGCGCCCCGCCUGGGGAGUACGGCCGCAAGGCUAAACUCAAGGAAUUGACGGGGGCCCGCACAAGCGGCGAGCAUGUGGAUUAUUCGAUGCACGCGAGA